GCUUCUGAGUCUGCGCAGAAGGAUCAUCAGUGAUGAUUGAAUCCGGAUCACGCCUCCUCUUCCAGGCAGCUUUCCCAGACCCUCAGAAGUAAAGCGGAUUGAACAUCUUACGGUUUGAUUAUGCUUUUAAAAGCAUAAUCAAACCGUAAAAAGCAGGACCCGUUCAAACCGGCUCUGUAAUUCCAUCAUAGGGGAGGCUGAACCAGGAGGAGAAUUGAGAGUUCAAGGCCAGCCUAAACUACAUAGUGAAUUUCAAGCUAGUUUGGAUUACACAGCGAGUUUCUGUCUCAUCAAAACAGCACACUUACGGAAUUACAAGACCCUGGGUGAAAUAUUCUAUGCUUUGACCAGAAGAGAAUCUGAGGUCUUUUUUGUCUUCCAGGUGCGGUGGAGCUGAGUUCCACCAGUCUGAGCUCGCAGGGGCCUUUGUUCACGGCUCUAAGAGGCUUUGUUCUCAGUCUUCUGAGAUGCUCUGUUCUCAACGUUCUUAAGUUCUAAAUCUGAGCCUGCCUGCUUUCGAAGGCUGCAUUCUGCCUCUUCUCACUGGGCAAGCAGGGCUAGCGCCCCCUCACGCGGCCACCAUGUGUCACUACACCCGGUGUGUCGGCAACGUUUGUGAAAUAGCCCAUUUCUCAUCGGACCUUUGACUCCUUAAAAGCUCAGAUCUGGAAGGGAGGAUGGGGCCCUAGAAUCGCGGUGAGUUCGAGGCCAAUCUGGGCUAACUAUGACAGCCUGUCAUUGAAAUAAAAAUAUAGUGUGAAACUGUCUUUUAUAAUGUUUUAUGAUCUGGCAAUAACCAACUUUGAUGUGGUGAGUCUAUGCCACUUUAAGGCAGAGUAACACUAGGAAACAUAUUUGGUCUCUCUGUGCUCUUCAUCUACAUCUAAAAAAAAGUUAUUCUGAACGUUUAACAGCAUAAUUAUGUUUUGUUUUGCUUUUUGAGGGUUUCACUAAGUAACCCUGGCUGAACUGUAACUAUGUAGACCAGACUGGCUUGUUACUUUCAGACCACCUCUGGGUUGUAUCUGACUCCCCCUACUCCAGUGCUCAUAUUAAAGGAGUGGGUCACCACGUAUAACCCUGUUAUUUUUUUUGGAGUAACAGCUUCUACCACUCAUAAAGAACUGAGUCCUGGGCAUGGUGAGCCAUAUCUGUAAUCCCAGCACUGGAGAAAUGGCUCAGUGAUUUAAGAGUGCUGUUGCUCUUCCAGAAGACCUGGGUUCGGUUUCUGGCACACAGAGAGAAAAAGAGGCUCACAGUCCUCUGUAACUCCAGCAUCAGAGGAUCCACUGUCCUCUUCCGGUCUCCUCAGGCAACUGCACUCUGUGUGUGUGAGCGCACACAUACACCACACACUGAAAUAUUUAGUCUUGCUGGGCAGUGGUGGCGCACACCUUUACUCUCACAGCACUUGAGAGGCAGAAGUAGGCAGAUUUCUGAGUUUGAAGCCAGCCUGGUCUACAGAGUGAGUUCCAGGACAGCCAGGGCUACACAGAGAAACCCUGUCUCAAAAAUUUAAAAAAAAAAAUUUUUUUUUUCAUGGUGCCAAGAGUGGUGGCUCAGGUCUGCCACUCUCGUGCUCUAAGUGAUUAGGCAGGAAGAUCUGCAGGUCCAGGCUAGCCUGGGCUACAUGGCAAGACCAAACAAAAGACGGGAUGAGGUGCAAUAGUUGAGGCUUUGUCUAGAAUCCUACUAGUUUCAGCCCCCAGUACAUGAACAGUCAUGGCAAAUGAAGCCUCAAUUUACUCUCAGCUGUUGGAGGGUUGAGGGCUAAAAGUCGGGGUGAGCAAGCAACUGGAGAACUGGGCAGGGAUCCAGAGUUAGAAAGGACAGCAUGAUGGCAGGAACCCUCAGGAGACAAAUGCAGGUGGGUAGUGAGUGCUAGGCUAGCCUGGUCUAGUGAGCUCCAGGACAGCCAGAACUAGGUAGAGAGACUUGGUUUCUAAACAAAUU
rnacentral:lncRNA from 1 species